rnacentral:rRNA from 1 species
UUGACCUCGGAUCAGGUAGGAUACCCGCUGAACUUAAGCAUAUCAAUAAGCGGAGGA